UACGUAGGGUGCGAGCGUUGUCCGGAAUUACUGGGCGUAAAGAGCUCGUAGGUGGUUUGUCGCGUUGUUCGUGAAAACUCACAGCUUAACUGUGGGCGUGCGGGCGAUACGGGCAGACUGGAGUACUGCAGGGAGACUGGAAGUUCCUGGUGUAGCGGUGGAAUGCGCAGAUAUCAGGAGGAACACCGGUGGCGAAGGCGGCGACCUGGUCCGAUACUGACGCUGGAGGCGACGAAAGCGUGGGGAGCAACAGG
rnacentral:rRNA from 1 species